CACGUAGGCGGCCUGGUAAGUCAGAUGUGAAAGCCCGGGGCUUAACCCCGGAAGUGCAUUUGAUACUGUCAGGCUUGAGUAUGGGAGAGGGAAGUGGAAUUCCUGGUGUAGAGGUGAAAUUCGUAGAUAUCAGGAGGAACACCGGUGGCGAAGGCGACUUCCUGGACCAAUACUGACGCUGAGGUGCGAAGGCGUGGGUAGCAAACAGGAUUAGAUACCCUGGUAGUCC
rnacentral:rRNA from 1 species